rnacentral:ncRNA from 1 species
CUUUAUUCAGGGUACGGCGAUUAAAAGGGAAUCAGGUGAGAAACCUGGACAGUCCCGCUGCUGUAAGCUCCAAAAAAGCUUUAGACAUCAACUCAUUGCCACUGUUUCCGGAAGGAACGGGAAGGAAGUUCUAAAGUGGAGUAAGUCAGAAGACCUGCCAAUGCCGG